UUUGAUCCUGGCUCAGAAUGAACGUUGGCGGCGUGGAUUAGGCAUGCAAGUCGAGCGAGAAACUUGUUUUCGGAUGAGUGGACAGCGGCGAAAGGGAGAGUAACGCGUAGAAAUGUACCCUGGGGCUCGGAAUAGCGGAGAGAAAUUUCCGGUAAUGCCGAAUAAUGUCUUCGGACCAAAGGUUUACCACCUUGGGAGCAGUCUGCGUUCUAUUAGCUUGUUGGUGAGGUAAUGGCUUACCAAGGCAAAGAUGGAUACCGGGCGUGAGAGCGUGACCCGGCUCACUGGGACUGAGACACUGCCCAGACACCUACGGGUGGCUGCAGUCGAGAAUCUUCCGCAAUGGACGAAAGUCUGACGGAGCGACGCCGCGUGCUGGAUGAAGGCCUUCGGGUUGUAAACAGCUGUCAUAGGGGAGGAAAUUUUGACCGAUCCUAAGAGGAAGCACAGGCUAAGUUCGUGCCAGCAGCCGCGGUAA
rnacentral:rRNA from 14 species